ensembl:lncRNA
CACACACACACACAGGGCUCUAUUUUCGUCUCGCGUUAAGCCAGGGCAAUUGUCAAACGCACACUCGUUUGCAAUUUCGACCUGUUAAAGUCGGCACUCUUCUGUCUUCUGUGACCUCGUUUGCCCUGAUGUGGGAGGGGGGCCAGUUUCAGGCAGCGUCGGUGGGGAUAUUUAAGACCAAGUAAAAUUUAGUCUUAGCAGUAACUUGGUUGGACAUGGUAUGGAUUUUGACAGCUGAAGCGCACAGAAACCACUUUGAAAAAUAUAUUUUAUUUUUGAUGUAUUCUUUUUCAUAUCCCCACCUACGCUGCCUGAAACUUCUCAUUUACAACUGCGACCUGGCCAAGAUGAAGAAAAGCAGUGUGACAAAAACAACAACACAGACUUACACAUAAACAAAGGCUAUACGACCAACAUGGAACGAGAGAUAAGUUGUCCUCCCUGUAGGCUAUACGACCAACAUGGAACGAGAGAUGAGUUGACCUCCCUGUAGGCUAUACGACCAACAUGGAACGAGAGAUGAGUUGACCUCCCUGUAGGCUAUACGACCAACAUGGAACAAGAGAUGAGACGACCAGGAAGAGACGAGGAACCACAGCUGGGGCGCUAAGGGAUGGCAGAGGGCAAGGUGGAGAGAAUUACGGAACAACGUUGCUGACGAGUACGAGGGAAUCCUCAUCUUCACCUUGUAAAGGAGAGGUGACGACAUGCAUAUCUGUGUGUCUAGCAGAUAUCUCAGGAUGGAUGUCGUCCCACCACCACAAGCUCAACCUCGACAAGACAGAGCUGCUCUUCCAUCUGGGGAAGGCCUGCCCGUUCCAAGACCUCUCCAUCACAUUUGACAACUUCGCGGUGUCCCCUUCCCAGAGUGUUCCCCUCCCACAGUGGUAAAAGUAUGGUAAACUGAGAGAGAGUAUAGCACUCAACAAAUCAUCCUAUAGCACUCAUCCAGCCCUCUCUCCUUACUCAGGUAUCCACCAACCAUACAUAUUUUAUUGACGCCAGAGCUGCUUAGUGUGGUCAGACACAGGUGCAGGGAAAUGGCUGCCUCUCACCAGGCUGUGAGAAGUGUCAGGAGAAAUGAAGGGAACGGCAGAGACUGGCAACCCGAGCUGUCGAGUCGGGCAGGAAAAGUAACUUUUCUCCACUGCUUUCAGAUGAGGGAUGGACAGGAAAGAGAGAGAGAGAGACAGAGAGAGAGAGAGAGAGAGACAGAGAGAGAGAGAGAGAGAGAGAGAGAGGAGAGAGAGAGAGAGACAGAGAGAGAGAGAGACAGAGAGAGAGAGAGAGAGAGAGAGAGAGAGAGAGAGAGAGAGACAGAGAGAGAGAGAGAGAGACAGAGAGAGAGAGAGAGGGGAGAGAGAGAGAGACAGAGAGAGAGAGAGACAGAGAGAGAGAGAGAGAGACAGAGAGAGAGAGAGAAAGAGAGAGAGAGAGAGAGAGAGUCCCAAGUCUCAGCCAGGUCACACUUGGCCGGCCGUGCCUCUGUUACCCAAUCCAUCACACUCCCAGAGGAGGAUGACAGGAUGACAGGUCCUUGAGCUGGGAGAGCCAGCAACAGGUGCACACAGUUCUCUGUUCCCCAGGAAACUGUGGUCUAUGUUUUAUUAUUUUAUUUUUUGAAAAAAAAAAAUGGUAGCAAGGGGUUGUGGAGUGAAGUGUGUGUGUAUCUGUGAGUGUGUGUGUGUGUUGUGUGUGAGAUAAAUGGUUGCUGAUAUUGGAUAUUACUACAUUCCCCAUAUAUCUGUGCCAGAAUCCUUAUGAUGGAUCGGAACCAAUGAAUUGUUAGACGAUGACUUGACAGAAUGGAUGUAAGACAGUGAAAGGUUUCAGAUACUGUUUCAGAAUUUGACUGGGGUCUGCUUACUCAUGGGCCUUCACACUAUGCACAAUAGUGUUAGUGAACUUUCCAUCUUCAUAACAAAGUCACAUCAAUGUCAUACGGGGUGGCAGGUAGCCUCGCGCUUAGUGCGUUGGACUAGUAAGCGCAAGGUUGCAAGAUCAAAUCCCUGCGCUGACAAGGUAAAAAUCUAUCAUUCUGCCCCUGAACAAGGCAGUUAAUCUGCUGUUCCUAGGCCGUCAUUGAAAAUAAGAAUGUGUUGUUAAACUGACUUGCCUGGUUAAAUAACGAUUAAAAGAAAAUGGUUAUCAUGUGUCUACUUAACUUGAAUACAUCCCUGCUUCACAUGGAGGAAGACUUCCUGUCCUGGC